rnacentral:rRNA from 1 species
ACUACGGGAGGCAGCAGUGAGGAAUAUUGGUCAAUGGACGAGAGUCUGAACCAGCCAAGUAGCGUGAAGGAUGACUGCCCUAUGGGUUGUAAACUUCUUUUAUAUGGGAAUAAAAUGUUCCACGUGUGGGAUUUUGUAUGUACCAUAUGAAUAAGGAUCGGCUAACUCCGUGCCAGCAGCCGCGGUAAUACGGAGGACCCGAGCGUUAUCCGGAUUUAUUGGGGUGAAAGGGCGCGUAGGGGGAUUGUUAAGUCAGGUGUGAAAGUUUGCGGCUCAACCGUAAAAUUGCAGUUGAAACUGGCAGUCAUGAGUACAGUAGAGGUGGGCGGAAUUCGUGGUGUAGCGGUGAAAUGCUUAGAUAUCACGAAGAACUCCGAUUGCGAAGGCAGCUCACUGGACUGCAACUGACACUGAGGCUCGAAAGUGUGGGUAUCAAACAGGAUUAGAUACCCUUGUAGUC